GGAGGGGGGCUAGCGUUGCUCGGAAUUACUGGGCGUAAAGGGCGCGUAGGCGGAUUUUCUAGUCAGGCGUGAAAGCCCCGGGGCUCAACCCGGGAAUUGCGCUUGAUACUGGAAGUCUAGAGAUCUGGAGAGGGUGGUGGAAUUCCCAGUGUAGAGGUGAAAUUCGUAGAUAUUGGGAAGAACACCGGUGGCGAAGGCGGCCACCUGGCCAGACACUGACGCUAAGGCGCGAAAGCGUGGGGAGCAAACAGGAUUAGAUACCCUGGUAGUCCACGCCGUGAACGAUGUGUGCUAGACGUCGGGCAGCUUGCUGUUCGGUGUCGCAGCUAACGCGUUAAGCACACCGCCUGGGGAGUACGGUCGCAAGAUUA
rnacentral:rRNA from 1 species